CAAAAAAAGGAAACCCCUCUCCCGUGAUCCAAGCCGCAUGCGUCCCCACCUUCCAUCCGCAUCAUGCCAGCCACUGUGCCAGGCUCCAGCUCCUCCCAGCGCCCGGAUCCACGUCUCUCCCAGCAAGGAAAAUUCCAGCCGAUCCCUCCAUCCGUGCCUCCUUCUUCCCUGCACCCUCGGAUCAGCCCCUCCUCCCAGCUCGCCCGUCUCCAAAUCCCCCGCAAUCACCGGCGAUUCCAGCUCCUUCCCGUGAU
rnacentral:lncRNA from 1 species